AACAUCUCCAUGGUUCUUGUAAUUCAGGACUUCUUUAUCCACAUUGUCCAUCUUCUUGUCUCUUCCGAUCUUCUAUGUGCCAAUUUGGGAACCCAGAGAAGAAGAGGACAAGAAAAUGGUUUACUUUGAAACUGAUUGCAUUGAUUUCAAGGAGGAUAUUUAUGGUCGUGGCUUAUUUUCUGGGAAUAAAAAAUUUAACCCUUUCAAUGCUAUAUAUCCUGUCUCCAUGGUUCAAGCAAUCUUGGCAUUAUUUAUGUGCAAACUUGUAUACUAUGCUCUCAGGCCUUGGAUAAAAUCAAGAGUUGUCUGCAAUUUCUUGGUAUGUUUUGCCUUUG
rnacentral:misc_RNA from 1 species